UGGGAUUCAUGGAUUAAAACCCCCCAGGAUGGGAAUAUCAUUGGAAUUCCAUAGGAAUUCCAUGGGAUUCAGGGAUUAACCCCCCCCCUGUACUCGCCUCAUCCCGCACGUCCUGCGCCAGAUCCCGACACUGAUCCAAUGGGAUCCCGCUGCCCAGCUCCAUGGUGAGGACCCGCGAUGCCGACAGCUCCUCCACCACCCGCGGCACAGAGAAGAAGGGAUCAUCCCGAAGGAGAUCCCUUAGGAAAAGGCAUGGGAAGCAUGAAGCUCUUUCUGCAGCACUUCCAGGGAUUUCUCAGCAAAAAGGCCUGGAAAAGGGAUUGGGAAGGAAAAGGUUGGGAAAAGAUGGAUUUGGGACCCAUAUCCCACUGUUAUCCAUUGGGAUUCCCAACUCACCCUUGGGCAAAGCAGAGCUCAUCCGGAGCAGAGCCAAGAGGUUUUCCACGUCGCUGCGGAUGCUCUGGGCGAUACCGGGAUACUAUGGGAAUACCGGGAUCAAAGAGGCCCCAAAUCCCCCCUUUUUCACCCCAAAAUCCUGCUUCCCACCUGGAUCUUGAUGGCCACUCGGGUCCCAUCCUGCAGCAUCCCAAGGUGCACUUGGCCAAUGGAAGCAGCCGCAAAGGGAAUAUCCUGGAAUUCCAAGAGCUUAUCCCUCCAGCCGGGACCCAGCUCCUCA